GACGAACGCUGGCGGCGUGCCUAAUACAUGCAAGUAGAACGCUGAAGGAGGAGCUUGCUCUUCUGGAUGAGUUGCGAACGGGUGAGUAACGCGUAGGUAACCUGCCUGGUAGCGGGGGAUAACUAUUGGAAACGAUAGCUAAUACCGCAUAAGAGUAGAUGUUGCAUGACAUUUACUUAAAAGGUGCAAUUGCAUCACUACCAGAUGGACCUGCGUUGUAUUAGCUAGUUGGUGGGGUAACGGCUUACCAAGGCGACGAUACAUAGCCGACCCGAGAGGGUGAUCGGCCACACUGGGACUGAGACACGGCCCAGACUCCUACGGGAGGCAGCAGUAGGGAAUCUUCGGCAAUGGACGGAAGUCUGACCGAGCAACGCCGCGUGAGUGAAGAAGGUUUUCGGAUCGUAAAGCUCUGUUGUAAGAGAAGAACGAGUGUGAGAGUGGAAAGUUCACACUGUGACGGUAUCUUACCAGAAAGGGACGGCUAACUACGUG
rnacentral:rRNA from 1 species